GAAAGACCACGGGAUUGCUCUGUAACGGCGAGUGAAGCAGCAAUAGCUCAAAUUUGAAAUCUGGCGUCUUCGACGUCCGAGUUGUAAUUUGUAGAGGAUGCUUCUGAGUAACCACCGACCUAAGUUCCUUGGAACAGGACGUCAUAGAGGGUGAGAAUCCCGUAUGCGGUCGGAAAGGUGCUCUAUACGUAGCUCCUUCGACGAGUCGAGUUGUUUGGGAAUGCAGCUCUAAAUGGGAGGUAAAUUUCUUCUAAAGCUAAAUAUUGGCCAGAGACCGAUAGCGCACAAGUAGAGUGAUCGAAAGAUGAAAAGCACUUUGGAAAGAGAGUUAAAAAGCACGUGAAAUUGUUAAAAGGGAAGGGAUUGCAACCAGACUUGCUCGCGGUGUUCCGCCGGUCUUCUGACCGGUCUACUCGCCGCGUUGCAGGCCAGCAUCGUCUGGUGCCGCUGGAUAAGACUUGAGGAAUGUAGCUCCCUCGGGAGUGUUAUAGCCUCUUGUGAUGCAGCGAGCGCCGGGCGAGGUCCGCGCUUCGGCUAGGAUGCUGGCGUAAUGGUCGUAAUUCGCCCGUCUUGAAACACGGACCAAGGAGUCUAACAUCUAUGCGAGUGUUCGGGUGUCAAACCCCUACGCGUAAUGAAAGUGAACGGAGGUGAGAACCGCAAGGUGCAUCAUCGACCGAUCCUGAUGUCUUCGGAUGGAUUUGAGUAAGAGCAUA
rnacentral:rRNA from 1 species